rnacentral:lncRNA from 1 species
AAAUUGAUCAGUGUGCAGCAAAGUUAUAUUUCAAUUGCAAGAGCAGCCUUCCAGAAAUAAAUAAAUAAAUAAACAAAGGGAUGAGAUUAAGAGCUAACAUCACCACUGUGGAGCUGAUGUCUUCAAAGCUGGAUUGAUUCCACCUGCAUCUAACUAUCUAAGAGCCAAGCACUUAGUCAGUGAGAGUUCUGAAGCUCUCUAUAGGCCUAGGAGAGAAACUGCCCUUCCCUGGAAGUAGAAUAAGCAACUCUGGUGCCUGCUAUCUGCUCCCCCAGAACAUUUCUUUCUUUGAGUCUGUAGUCUUGCUGUUUUCAUGUUGGCAGCUCCUGAUGCACUUCAGUUUACAGCUGUUGGAAUAUGACAGGUUUUCUCAUUGCUGCUUCUGGAGGAGACUGUUCCCUGUUGACCACAGAGGGUAGUCCAUAGAGGCAAGAAAGAGAUAUCUUGGGGGAUGUAUGCACAGAUGAAGAAAGAGAAGAAAGAAUCAUAGAAAAAAGAAACACUAUGCAAGGAUAAAUCACACAGCUGUUAUGAAAGAAGAGCUCUCUUGCAGAUGCUGCUGCCGAUGGGAAAAAAAAAAAGGUAGAUGGUGCCACCGAUGAAAUAUUUAAGGCAACUGGAUGUUAAAAUGGCGAGUUGUAAUGAGACUCAGAUUAAGAAGAGGAGCAGCCUAGCUAGACCAUUAAACUCGCCAUUAAAUCUCAGCGAACCCUUCAAGAAGCCUAAGUCAUGUUCUAAUAUGCUAUAUGCUAUUGCUGAUGACUCCAGUGGGAAAAAAAAACCUGAAAUAGAUUCUAUUUUACCAAAAAGAAUACUAGAAACAGAAGACUGGGCAACACUGCAUAGCUAUUAGUAUGUGUCUAAUCACUGUUUUUCCUGAACGUUCAGAGCAGCCAAACCAAAUAUAUUUUAAAGCAUCUGCUUACCACAAGUGUUAAGUUUUGUAGACCUACAUUUCACACUUAUGAUGAGCACCCUGGAGAAGUCACUAUCAGCUUUCUUUUUAUAUUCUGGAGAUAUCCAGGAGUCCUGGAGGUUUGAAUAUUUUUAUUAGUAUUUUAGGGAAAAGAAGAACUAUGUGCAAAGAUAAAACUAGGGAACAAGAUUCCUUGAGAAAUGCAUGGAAACCUCACCUGCUAUAUCCUGCAGUCUGGAUCUUUUCCUGGGUUCUGAACCAUGGGGUAAUUGCUGGCUCCACAACAGCAGGUAUGCUUCAAGGACAGACCCUGGGCUCCUAGAUGUUGUUCCACCUGGCUGAAAGCCAGGCAUAUUUCUUAGGGUCCCUCUCCCUGAGAUCAGUGUUGAACACUUUGUAUUUGAAGAAUGUGGUUCCUUUUAAUGACAGCCUGUUUGGCUUAAAAUUUUCUGGCUCUUUGUGUUUGGGAAUUCUCUUGAAUGAGCUUACCAAGGCACUUCUUUUGCAUGGCUUUUCUCCAGAAAGCCACUGCCUUUCUUCACUCUGCUGCUAAUGACGGCAUAGCAGAGACACAUACCAGUCUGCUCAUUAGAGACCUGGAGAAACAGAUUGCACAAAAUAGCCUAAUACCAAUGUGGAAAAUGUAAACUUGACAGGGUUUAGAAGGAAGCUAAACAUAGUCUGGCACAAGGAGCUGUGAGAAGCGUAAUGUAAUCGUAUGUUCAUGCUUUUAUUGAGCAUGGAAUUUAUUUGAGAAAGAAGAGUGAAGGAUGCUUCACUCAUAAGUAGUAUUGCUUGUAAGGAGAUAGCUGAUUUCUCAAGUAGAUUGCUUGAUGAAGGAUUGAUAGUUUUUUCUUCAAUUUUGUUUUUUUAUUGUUAUUUUCUUUUCAAAUAGAAACUCUUUCUGUUACAAAUUAUAACCUUUCUUUUCUAAGCA